rnacentral:rRNA from 1 species
CCGCCAGUGAUCCUGCCGGACCUGACUGCUAUCGGAUUGAUACUAAGCCAUGCGAGUCAUUGUAGUAAUACAAGGCAGACGGCUCAGUAACGCGUAGUCAACCUACCCUAUGGACGGGGAUAACCUCGGGAAACUGAGAAUAAUACCCGAUAGAACAUUAUGCCUGGAAUGGUUUAUGUUUCAAAUAAUUUAUUGCCGUAGGAUGGGACUGCGGCCUAUCAGUUUGUUGGUGAGGUAAUGGCCCACCAAGACUAUUACAGGUACGGGCUCUGAGAGGAGUAGCCCGGAGAUGGGUACUGAGACACGGACCCAGGCCCUAUGGGGCGCAGCAGGCGAGAAAACUUUGCAAUGUGCGAAAGCACGACAAGGUUAAUCCGAGUGGUUUCUGCUAAAGGAACCUUUUGUCAGUCCUAGAAACACUGAUGAAUAAGGGGUGGGCAAGUUCUGGUGUCAGCCGCCGCGGUAAAACCAGCACCUCAAGUGGUCAGGAUGAUUAUUGGGCCUAAAGCAUCCGUAGCCUGCUUUGUAAGUUUUCGGUUAAAUCCAUACGCUCAACGUAUGGGCUGCCGGGAAUACUGCAAAGCUAGGGAGUGGGAGAGGUAGACGGUACUCGGUAGGAAGGGGUAAAAUCCUUUGAUCUAUUGAUGACCACCUGUGGCGAAGGCGGUCUACCAGAACACGUCCGACGGUGAGGGAUGAAAGCUGGGGGAGCAAACCGGAUUAGAUACCCGGGUAGUCCCAGCUGUAAACUAUGCAAACUCAGUGAUGCAUUGGCUUGAUGCCAAUGCAGUGCUGCAGGGAAAGCCGUUAAGUUUGCCGCCUGGGAAGUACNUACGCAAGUAUGAAACUUAAAGGAAUUGGCGG